rnacentral:rRNA from 1 species
GACGAACGCUGGCGGCGUGCUUAACACAUGCAAGUCGAGCGGUAAGGCCCUUCGGGGUACACGAGCGGCGAACGGGUGAGUAACACGUGGGUGACCUGCCUCUAGCUCUGGGAUAAGCCUGGGAAACUGGGUCUAAUACCGGAUAUGACUCCACGGCGCAUGUUGCGGGGUGGAAAGCCUUGUGUGGCUAGAGAUGGGCCCGCGGCCUAUCAGCUUGUUGGUGGGGUGAUGGCCUACCAAGGCGACGACGGGUAGCCGGCCUGAGAGGGCGACCGGCCACACUGGGACUGAGACAACGGCCCAGACUCCUACGGGAGGCAGCAGUGGGGAAUCUUGCGCAAUGGGCGAAAGCCUGACGCAGCGACGCCGCGUGAGGGAUGACGGCC